rnacentral:tRNA from 1 species
GGUGGCUCAAUAGUAGAGUACUUGCCUUGCAUGCAUGAGGCCCUGGGUUCGAUUCCUCAGCACCA